AACGCACAUUGCGCCCAUUAGUAUUCUAGUGGGCAUGCCUGUUCGAGCGUCAUUUCAACCCUCAGCGCCCCGUCAGGGGACUGGUGUUGGGGCCCUUGCCUCCCCGGCAAGCCCCGAAGAGCAGUGGCGGGCCCCCCGGGACUCCGAGCGCAGUAGUUUACGCCUCGCUUCGGAGCGCCUAGCGGGCGACACCGGCCGUUAAAAGCGCUGGAGACAGCAUUCUUUACAAGGUUGACCUCGGAUCAGGUAGGAAUACCCGCUGAACUUAA
rnacentral:misc_RNA from 1 species